UUGAAGCACGGACCAAGGAGUCUAGCAUGUGUGCAAGUCAUUGGGUGUCUCUAAGCCCAAAGGCGAAAUGAAAGUGAAUCACGGGCUGAUCCCUAGAUCUGCUCAAUUCGGCGGGGCGGUAGGUUAACGGGGACUGACAUUCUGGUAGAGUCUUCGGAUUCCUAUUUUGUCCUUGCCUCGUUUCCUAGGUGGACGGCUGUUGAGUUAAUUUCACCGUCAGUCUCCCGCCGCACUUGUCCGAUGCGACUGGUCGAUCUCCGGUUGAGGAGGGGGCGCAGGCCCGGGACUUGCCAUCACGACUUAAGCGGUGCACGCGGGGCCGAGGCGGCCGCUCGAAAGCGUGGUCUCCCUUCGCGGGGGGGCGCGCCUCGGGCGGUGCGCGGGCCUCGUCGUGUCUUCCGCGGUAGUCGGCAAGUACCCUGAGCACAUAAGCUAGUACCCGAAAGAUGGUGAACUAUGCCUGGCCAGGACGAAGCCAGAGGAAACUCUGGUGGAGGUCCGAAGCGAUUCUGACGUGCAAAUCGAUCGCCAGAGCUGGGCAUAGGGGCGAAAGACCAAUCGAGCCAUCUAGUAGCUGGUUCCCCCCGAAGUAUCCCUCAGGAUAGCUGGUGCUCAUCAAUGAGUUUCAUCCUGUAAAGAGAAUGAUUGGAGGUGUUGGGGGUGCAAUGCCCUCAACCUACUCUCAAACUUUAAAUGGGGUGAGAAGCCAAGCUUGCUUAAUCGAGGCUUUGGCGAUCAAUCAGAGUACCAAGUGGG
rnacentral:rRNA from 1 species